rfam:Gossypium raimondii chromosome 13, whole genome shotgun sequence.
GGAGAGAUGACUAAGUGGUUGAUAGCUCCGGCCUUGAAAAUCGGUAUAGUUCGAAACAAAUUACUAUUGAGGGUUCAAAUCCCUCUCUCUCCU